rnacentral:rRNA from 1 species
AUGGGGUGUAGGAUCCAGGGAGGUUUCGGGGGUCAAGAAGCCACCGACCUCGCCGAAAAUCGCCCUUCCCUCCUCCCGGCCAAUCUCCUCCACCGGAUGCCUCGCGUGCUGCCACGCCAGGCGCCGGAUCCAUCGGCCAUUCAUGCACCAGGGAUGAGCUCGGCACGCGGUUCGUUUGUGACUUGCAUCUUCUCAUUGCUUCUGCAUCUCCCCCUCAUGUCCUCUGACGAGAAACCACAUCUUGGCGUGCAGACUACUGGGAGAAACUGCAUGGAGGAAGGCUCGCUCCUGGGAGAAACUGGGUGCACUAUGGUCCUGGAGCAGAUCGUUGUUUUGGUGUUUUUCUUAUCAAGUGUAAAUGUAGCCCACUAUUGUUUGCUCAUCAGGUUCAAUUUACUUGUUCUUGUAGGAAGAAAGUGGUAG